UCUACUGAGGGUUCUAGGACUUCGACUCGGUCACUUUUACCCUGAUCGUGGAGGAAGCAGGAGUGGUCGAAGGACCGUUUUGGAAUCGUUUGAGUUAGAGCUCGCGGCUAGUAGGAGUUAGGAGUAGGGUAGUGGCAGAUUAAAGGGCGAAACCCUGACACUCCAGGUGGCAACCGGCAUCAUCCGUAGCAGAGAGACCACUCCAACCGUCAACCCAGCGCUUCUGGACUCCAUCAAGGGGUCAAAGUUCCGGGGUGAACCCCCAAGCAGCUCGUCCGUCAACAUACGAGCUGGGCGGCGUCCGUCAACACACGCCGUGGUCGAACCCUCGACAACCA